CUGGCGCGUGCCUAAUCAUGCAAGUCGAAGCGACUGAUUAGAAGUUGCUUCUAUGACGUUAGCGGCGGACGGGUGAGUAACACGUGGGCAACCUGCCUGUAAGACUGGGAUAACUUCGGGAAACCGAAGCUAAUACCGGAUAGGAUCUUCUCCUUCAUGGGAGAUGAUUGAAAGAUGGUUUCGGCUAUCACUUACAGAUGGGCCCGCGGUGCAUUAGCUAGUUGGUGGGUAACGGCUCACCAAGGCAACGAUGCAUAGCCGACCUGAGAGGGGAUCGGCCACACUGGGACUGAGACACGGCCCAGACUCCUACGGGAGGCAGCAGUAGGGAAUCUUCCGCAAUGGACGAAAGUCUGACGGAGCAACGCCGCGUGAGUGAUGAAGGCUUUCGGGUCGUAAAACUCUG
rnacentral:rRNA from 2 species